rnacentral:rRNA from 1 species
GGAUUGAACGCUGGCGGCAUGCUUUACACAUGCAAGUCGAACGGUAACAGGCCGCAAGGUGCUGACGAGUGGCGAACGGGUGAGUAAUGCAUCGGAACGUGCCCAGUCGUGGGGGAUAACGCAGCGAAAGCUGUGCUAAUACCGCAUACGAUCUAUGGAUGAAAGCGGGGGACCGAAAGGCCUCGCGCGAUUGGAGCGGCCGAUGUCAGAUUAGCUAGUUGGUGGGGUAAAGGCCACCAAGGCGACGAUCUGUAGCUGGUCUGAGAGGACGACCAGCCACACUGGAACUGAGACACGGUCCAGACUCCUACGGGAGCAGCAGUGGGAAUUUUGGACAAUGGGCGCAAGCCUGAUCCAGCAAUGCCGCGUGCGAGGAAGAAGGCCUUCGGGUUGUAACUGCUUUGUACGGAACGAAACGGUCUAGGUUAAUACGUACGGCUAAUGACGGUACGUAAGAAUAAGCGACGGACUAACGUACGUCGACCGACGACACGCGUACGUAACG